rnacentral:rRNA from 1 species
AUUGAACGCCGGAGUCAGGCCUAACACAUGCAAGCCGAACGAGUGGCGGACGCGUGAGUAAUGUCUGGGAAACUGCCCGAUGGAGGGGGAUAACUACUGGAAACGGUAGCUAAUAACGCAUACCCUCGGCUGUCCCCGGAUGGGAUGAGCUAGUAGGUGGGGUAAUGGCUCACCUAGGCGACGAUCCCUCGCUGGUCUGAGAGGAAGACCAGCCAACUUGGAACAGAGAAACGGGCCUGACUCCUACGGGAGGCAGCAGUGGGGAAUAUUGCACAAUGGGCGCAAGCCUGAUGCAGCCAUGCCGCGUGGAUGAAGAAGGCCUUCUGGUUGUAAAGUACUUUCAGCGAGGAGGCGUUCCUCGCAGAAGAAGCACCGGCUAACUCCGUGCCAGCAGCCGCGGUAAUAC